CCCAUCCAAUUUCGUUCCCUCCCCUCAAAAAAAAUUCCGAUUUCGUCCCCACCGUUUGGCCCCGAUCUCCACCGCGCUCUAGGGUUCCGGCCGCCGCCGGCGAGGGCCUGCCAUUUGAGGCGCUCCUUCGUUCUCCACCGCGCUCAAUAGGCUCCCGGCCGCCGCCGGCGAGGGCCUGCCAUUUGAGGCGCUCGAGGAGGAUUCGCCGUCCCCCGACGCCGCUGCUCCCCUGGACCCCGUCGCGCUCCGGGACAGGCCUGCGCUCACCCCUUCCGGCCGCCGCCGGCGAGGGCCUGCCAUUUGAGGCGCUCGAGGAGGACUCGCCGUCCCCCGACGCCGCUGCUCCCCUGGACCCCGUCGCGCUCCGGGACAGGCCGGCGCUCACCCCCGACUUCUCUCGCCUCGUCUUCUCCAUGGAGCUCCCCUGCCGACGGCCCACGCCGGAGCUUUGGGCCGACCUCCCCUCCGGCAGCACGCGCCGGCCGAACCCAGUUGGCCGCGUCGGCAAUUUCAAUAUUGCGCUCUCACAGUCCGGCUCUGCUCGUGCCAAGCUCUAGGUAUACGUUCUAAUCCUCCUUGCAAAUCUU
rnacentral:rRNA from 1 species